AACGGGAGGCUGCAGNAGGGAAUCUUCCACAAUGGGCGCAAGCCUGAUGGAGCAACGCCGCGUGUGUGAUNAAGGCUUUCGGGNCGUAAAGCACUGUUGUAUGGGAAGAACGGGUUUAAGAGGAAAUGCUUAAACAGUGACNGUACCAUACCAGAAAGGGACNGCUAAAUACGUGCCAGCAGCCGCCGUAAUACNUAUGUCCCGAGCGUUAUCCGGAUUUAUUGGGCGUAAAGCGAGCGCAGACGGNUGCUUAANUCUGAAGUGAAAGCCCACAGCUCAACUGUGGAAUGGCUUUGGAAACUGGGCAACUUGAGUGCAGUANAGGUAAGUGGAACUCCAUGUGUAGCGGUGNAAUGCNUAGAUAUAUGGAANAACACCANUGGCCAANGCGGCUUACUGGACUGCAACUGACGUUGAGGCUCGAAAGUGUGGGNAGCAAACAGGAUUAGAUACCCUGGUANNCCACACCGUAAANAUUGGAUACUANUUGUUAGAGGGUUUCCGCCCUUUANUGNACAANCAAACGCAUUAANUAUCCCGCCUGGGGAGUANGACCCCAAGGUUNNAACNCAAAGGAUUUGACNGGGACCCCCANAACCGGUG
rnacentral:rRNA from 1 species